GUCGUUAAUAUUUUACCGACGGAAUUAUAAUUUUGUCGUUAAUGUUACAAGAAACACUGUUCCGGAAGUCGGAUAACUUCUGACAUAAACAUAUUUUCCGUUGGUAAAAAAAGGUAAAUACCAAUGGAAAAUGUUGAUUCCGUCGGUAUUGACUGACAGAAUUAGCAGUUCCAUCAGUAAAUACCGACAGAACCAGCAGUUAUAUCGGUAUUACCGACGGAACUGCUAGUUCUGUCGGUAAUCUAUCAAAUCCUUAUGUUUCGAUAAUUUCCGACGAAACAUUGUUCCGUCAGUAUUCCGAUGUAAAAUGAAAAAAUAAAAAUAAAAGAUUCAGUUUGUUUACAUACUCUUCCACAUAUACAUUUUUCAAAUAUAUAAAAAACUAUCACAAACGAUGAUAUCAUACAAUUCACACAUCAAAUAUAAUCUACACAUAUAUAUAUCAUAUAACAAUCACACACUAGUAAAAUCUACAAAAAAAAAAAACUCAUUUCAUACAAUCUAUAUGUAACUAAAUCUACAUAAUAUAUAGAUGCAAAUAUCCAUAUCUAAAUUCAAGUUUACAUAAUACAUACCGCAUUAGAAAGUACUCCAAAUAAUACAAGAAUGCUAAAUAAUAAAGAAAAUCCUGUAGAAAGUCAAAUACAAAAUGAUCAUGUUGAUGUAUAAAUAAACUGUUCGCAUAUAUAUGUAUAACGAAUUUUAUAUGAAAUGAUACCUGAACAAAAAUGAGCAUAUGAUGUAAUGAAGAGUCAAUAUGUAAAUAGGACUGAACGUGACUCCUGAAACAUAUAGUAAUAAAAUAUUUAAAAAUAAAUAUAUUAUAAUAUCAAAAUAGAAUAAAUAUAUUACUAUGGUCUAUAUAUGAUAAAUAAAAACUAAAGUGUAGUUGAACAAACCUCAAAAAAACUAAUCAUCACCGUCUGAUGGAUCUUGAGUCUCCUAUGACUCAAAAUCAUGUGAUGCCUAAGUGAAAUUAGCCAUGAUCGCUCGCAUCUGGGUUAUGAGAGCUUCAUUACUCUUGUCACGUUCGACUCUCUUCUUCUCCUCAUCAGCUCUCCACUGGUCCAUAUCGGUCAUCCUCUGAUCCAUUAAUUUUAGUUAAGUACGCAGUUCUUGAUUUUCACGUCUUAAAGACUGCAUCUCACUAGAAGAAGGGGAACUAGCACGACCUACUGGAUUCCUCAAACAAUCAAAUGCAACUUUAGCCGAAGAGCCAAGGUUGUAGAGGGUGGAGUUUUUUGUUCUUCCAUCGACAACAUCAUAAUAAAUCUUAUUUAGAGCGUCGGUGGAUAAAGACUGUGACUCUGCCCCCUUUGCUAAUGGUUAAGAUGUCUGAGUCACCCUUUUUGUCAUUAGUUGCUAGAUAAAAAAAAAUAUAAUAUCCAAGUUGAUCAGUAUUACAUACUAAUCAAGAUAGAAAUGAACAAAUGUAAUAAAGUUAAUAAUCUUACAUGUAGAGUUUGAGAUCGAGAAUCAACAAAUGAUCCAUCCUUCUUCUUGUGGGUCUUGAGAAAGACCUCCAUACAUGUGGGUCGUCGGGCAAGCUCACGUUCCUAUAUUCCAAAAAUUUGGGAAAAAAUUAUACAAGUUUAGUAAUAAAUACAAAAUUUGUUACAAUGUAUAACUUUAAAUUAUACUCACCAGAUUCAUGGUAUGCUUAAUAAUAGAUCUGGAUCCUGACAUAUGUCGAGCGGUUCCGGUGCUCGAGCCACCUAGCUUUGUAUUUCUAUUUGCUCUUGCCUUUUUAGCAUUUGCUUGCCAUCUUUCUACAGCCCAGGUAGCCGUCCAUGCACUCUAAAUCGUCUUAGAAACAUACGCAGGCCUAGUGCUCUUCUUUCUCAUAUAAUACAUAAGAUAUAUGUACAGUUUGGUACAAUAAGUAUUCCAUAUAGCUUUAAAUUGUUCUUCUUACCCGUCCACCCAUGGAUAUCUUUUCUAUAAUUAUAAGUUAAACAUUUAGUUUAAAUGAUAACUAUAUUAUAGAAUACCAAAUAUAUUAAAUUUACUUACCACAAAUUCAUUAUAAUAAAAUAAUUUCAUCUCUUGGUCUACAUGCCUCCAUGCAGUACCAGACGUGCAAACUUUCCAGUGAUAUAUAUGGCAAUUUGGUGGACAUUUGGAGUGAAUAUGCAAGAAAUAAUAUUAAGUUAUGGGAAAUAUAUUAUAAAUAAAGUUAUAUAUAAACUUGAAUUAUUAAUAAGAAAAAAUACUUACGAGUCCCCGACAACAGUAAGGACCUUGUAGCCACGGGGUGCCACAGGUUGCUGCUCUGCCAUAAUGAUAUCUGCAAAAUAACAUUGCAACACAUUAUAAUAAGGUUUAAAAAUAUGAUAAUAUAAAUACAAAAUAAUAUGGAAACAUAACUUACUGACGGAAAUAAUAAUGUUAAUAUUUAAUCAUCAAUAACAUCUGACUAAUCAACAUUAAUAGUUUCUAUGUUCUCAUCGCUAGAUGAGCUUAGUUCAACUUCAUCCUCACUGAUGGACAUCUCUCCAUCAUCUAUCUCUUCAUAAAUGUUAUUAACAUCUACAAGUAAUUGAAAAGUAAAUUGGUGUUGUAAUCAACUGAAUGCCUCUCCAUUUCAUCAUUCUGAAAUACAUCAUGGUUUUGAGCAGUGAUUGUAUUCGACAUCUCUAUGAUCGAGCGAGACUUUAUUCGACAAACAAACAACUAUUCACUAGAUCUUCUUCUCUUCGUAAGGUAUUCAAGAUAGAAAACUUGCCCCGCUUGUAUCCCGAAAAUAAAAUGUUCAAACUUGUUGAAUCUUUUAUUUGUAUUAACCUCAAUUAAAUUAUAAUUUGGAUGAAUUCUAGUACCUAUUCGUAGGGUCGGAUCAUACCAUGAACAUUUGAACAACACACACCUCUUUAUUGGUAAUGCAGGAUAUUCAAUCUUUAUGAUUUCGUCAAGUCUACCAUAGUAAUCAAACUCAGUGUUAUUGUUGUUCAUAGAUCCUUUGACGCAAACACCAGAAUCAUAAUUUAAUCUCUGUGAAUCUCAUUGUGAACGUGGAAUUUAAGGCCAUUAAUAUAGUAACCAGAAUACACCUUUAUUUUACGAAGGGGUCCUGAUGUAAUAUUCAUUAUCUUAUCAUCUUACACAUUUGAUAUUCUACAGUCUUUCACCUAUAAAAAUAGUUAACAUAUAUAUUAGAACACUUCUUAAUAGGCAUGAACUCAAAAUUUUCACAAAUUCUCUAACUUACAUAUAUUUGAAACCAUAAUGCAAAUUCGGUCUCUAACUUUGUAGCUACCUCACUUGCACCAAUUGAUGGAUUUUGUAGAUAUAAUUGUUGUUCCUACAAGAUGAGAAAAAAAGUAAUUAUAUAAAACUUUGGAUAUUAAGCAAAAUAAUUAAACGGAGGAUAAAUGUUUGAUUUAAGAAGUUUACUUACUUUAUGUAUGGUUUGACCUCUUCACAAUUUAAGAGUAUAUAUGUUCUUGCAACAUAGUAUUCUUCUUCGAUUAACCAUCUAGAAAGCAAUGUACACAUUAACUUACCAAGAAACUUGAAAAUAGAAAGCAUCGAUGGGUCUAUCGGCUGACAAGCAUCAUCAGAAUUUCUAAGACACUUCUGAUGUUUUGUUUGCACACUAUCAAGAAAAUAAUAUGAGCAGAAAGAAGAUGCUUCUUCACAGAUAAACAUUGCAUAUUGACCCCUCAAGUCUUACUUCGUUACAAACAUUAUUUUUAAAUUUCCUCAAAAAUUGUUUGAAUAGAUACAUCUAUCUGUAUUGCUGUAAAAUACCGGAAAUAGGCGAAUAUGAAUAAGGGAAUUUUUGGAAAUUUUUCGGGAAUUUUUCGGAGCUCGUACGGGCGAGUUGACGGGGAUAAAAACGGGAUCCGGAAAAGCCUGUUUAGGCGACCCGUUUAAGCGAGGAAAAGUUUAUAUUUACAUUUCCUUUUCUUUUAUUUCUUUUUAUUUUCUUUUUAUUCCCGUUUUCUUCCUCGCUGAGACCCCCGCGUGCCCGAGCGGUUCCCUUUCUUCUCCUUCUCGUUUCUUCUUCUUCUCUGCCGCCACUCCGACGCGGAGCUGAGCGAUCCUCCGACAGCCACAUCUUCUUCCUUCUUCUUCCCCCGUCGCCGACUCCUAGCCCUAACCGGCGCCGAUAAUUUCUUCUCCACUGCCCGCACCGACGUCCUCUCCGAUCUCCUCACGGCGCCACCUUUCCUCUGUGCCCUAGCCAGCCCCGGCCGACCAGCGACUUCUCCUCCCUUUCUCUGAUCCGACGAGCCACCGUCGACCGAAGUCUUCUUCCUCUUCCUCCCUGUCCAAGCGGUGGCGACGCACGGAGCACCGCCCUUUUUCCUGUGCCCUAGCGUCGGCUCGCCGCCAAGCCUAGCAUCUCCACCGACGUCGAGCAGUGUCGGCGACUCACCCCGUGCCCUAGCCGAGCCCUUGUUGGGGAGUUCACAGCCGCCAGCCACCGAGCACCUUCGAUUACUGCCAUCGUGCCCUAGCUACCCACCGGCGUCGCACGGAGCAGCGUCGCCUCUCGCUGUGCCGCCUCUCCGCUGUUCUUGAUCAUUCCUUCUUUGUGGUGAAGUUAGGUCACAGUUGGGUGGGGAAAAGAUUUUCCGUAGGGUUGCUUUACUGUGGAUUUAUUCUAAUUCCAGCAGCAACUAUCUCUUGGCGUUGGAUCAGUGAUUACAGCUGUGGAAUUUAAGGACUUUGACGCGAGACGAGUAUCUCGGAGUCAGAUUGGACCUUUCUAUUUUCGGAGGCGG